rnacentral:misc_RNA from 1 species
GAUGAAGAACGCAGCGAAAUGCGAUAAGUAAUGUGAAUUGCAGAAUUCAGUGAAUCAUCGAAUCUUUGAACGCACAUUGCGCCCGCCAGUAUUCUGGCGGGCAUGCCUGUUCGAGCGUCAUUACAACCCUCAGGCCCCCGGGCCUGGCGUUGGGGAUCGGCGGAGCCCCCCGUGGGCACACGCCGUCCCCCAAAUGCAGUGGCGGUCCCGCCGCAGCUUCCAUCGCGUAGUAGCUAACACCUCGCGACUGGAGAGCGGCGCGGCCACGCCGUAAAACACCCAACUCUUCUGAAGUUGACCUCGAAUCAGGUAGGAAUACCCGCUGAACUUAAGCAUAUCAAUAACGGAGGA